GUUAAGGUGGCAGAGCCUGGUAAAUGCAAAAGAUCUAAGCCCUUUGACCCAGAGGUUCAACUCCUCUCCUUAACU
rnacentral:tRNA from 1 species